CCAAGUCUCGGUGCUGAAUCUUCCUGUUCUGUGCCCUUUGUGUCCUCACAGUUCCUGGUGGAGAACAGAUGUGCGGUCAAUGGACAGACCACAGGGCUGGCUGGAGCUUUAGGAUAAGACUUCACUACCAAUGCAGCAGUAUGGAGCGUGGAACCUAACAAAAGUUGGCUAGGUCAUUAGGGCAAGAUAAAUUAAUUAAUAGAUGGAUGAAUUAAUAUAUCACUUACUAUCUCAGAAGCAGACUAGUUGCUGAGAGAGUAGAUUUAUUAUAAAAGUGAAUUUCAAUGAAGAUUGGACUCUAAUGUGAAUACUAGGUGUCGUAGUUUUUUUUUUUUUUAACUAGACACAAAUCUAAACAUACCUGGGAAAAGAGUUGAAGAAUUUUCUCCAUCAGAUUGGCCUGUGGACAUCUCUGUGUGAACAUUUUCUUGAUGGAUAUAGGAGGGACCAGCCCUUGUGAGCAGCAACAUCCCUGAGCAGGUGUGCGUGGGCUAGAAGCAAAAGGUAGCUAAGCAAGUCAGAGGGUGAGUCAGUAAGCUUCCUCCAUGGUUUCUGCUUCAGUUCCUGAAUCCAGCUUUCUUCCUUGAUUUCCUGCUAUGACUUCCUUCAAAGAUGGACUGUAACCUGAAA
rnacentral:lncRNA from 1 species